ACCCCCUAAUUUCCUUCUUCUCCCCCCCCACCCAGGGAAAGUCCACGGAUCCCUCGCCCGCGCCGGCAAAGUGAGGGGCCAGACCCCCAAGGUGGCCAAGCAGGAGAAGAAGAAGAAGAAGACGGGGCGGGCGAAGCGGCGCAUGCAGUACAACCGGCGCUUCGUCAACGUCGUGCCCACCUUCGGCAAGAAGAAGGGUCCCAACGCCAACUCCUGAGCCAAAUAAAGGGGGUUGGGGCCCAUUC